rnacentral:lncRNA from 1 species
UUAGAUAAAUGCAUGAGUUAAAUGUCAAGUAACAUGAGCUAGAUGCAUGUUUUAGAAAUGGAUGCAUGAUGAAAAUGCUAAAAGAAUGUGUAAUGACAUAAUGUAAGAAUGCUUAGUGAAUUCAUAUUGAUAUGAAAUAAGAAUGCUAAAGUAUACAUGAUAAGCAUGCAUGAGGAUAAUGCUAAGUACAGGUAUGAUAAGCAUGAUAUAGGGAUGCUAAUGUAAGAAUGCUAUGUAAAGGACAUAUGUAUACAUAUAGAUCGAGUGGCAUUGAACCUAGAGUCGUGAACCUAGGUUGAACAAGAGUGAUAUUGAACCUAGUGUCAUUGAACAUAGGUUAUUCACGAGUGGCAUGUCAAGUAUAAUUCCUAGGUGUGGACAACUAGGAAAACAAGAACAUGAGUGACAUUGAUCCUAGAGUAAAAUAAACCUAGGUUGUAAAUGUAAUAAUAUAGAACCUAGAGUCAAGUGAACUUAGGUGAUAAAGAAUGUUGGACUUAGCGUCAAUGAACCUAGGCUAAGAAGAUAAUGACGUUGAACCUAAUGUAUUAACAUAGGUUGAGUAAAGGCUUGGACCUAGAUAGGUCGAUAACAUAGGGUGAGACCAACCCUUGAGUAAUGUAAAGUGGAUUCCGGAAUCCCUGCUGCUAGUGCAGCGGCUGCUAGUGCAGCAUACAAGCUCGAUAGUUCUUGGCCGCGGGUGCAUGUGGCAUGUUCCUCUCCCACCGGAAGAACUUCGAGGCUUGUCAAUGAGCAAGAACAAUGAGCGCUAGGGUGCAUGUGGCAUGUUCCUCUCCCUAUCGGGGAUCUCGGCUGCGGGUGUAUGCGGCAUGUUCCUCUCCCACCGGGGGAUCCCUGACCACGGGUGUACGCAGCUCUGGGCGACCCGUUGGGCGAUGUGGUUUGUGAUUGAAGGCUGAGGUGCAUGUGAGAGUUCCUUCACCUCGAGCCGGACAGAGCGCGGACUAUCCGCAGUUGAUUGACUCAAGACCGAGUCGGAUGGCAAAGUUGGCUAAGGUAAAGUAACCUUAGGAAAGAAAGGCUAAUGUGUAUAAUAUUACUAAGGUGUGAGUACCCUUAGUAAAGCGUAAAGAAUAAAGAAUGAAGAAUCAAGAAUAAGAAAAGGCUAAUGCUAAAGAAUGACAAGUAAUAAAGAAUAAAGAAAGGUUAAUGCUAAAGAAUAGCUAGUAAAGUAAAGAAUGAGUAAAAGUAAAGAAUGGAUAAGAAUAAAGUGUAGAAGCAAUUAAUCUACUAUAUGAGUUGCAUAAUUUGCAUAUUGCAUGUUGUGAGGCAAAAGCAUGGUAAUGUUAGUUGCAUGAUUUAUGAUUUCAUAUCUAUCUAUUGGACUAACAUGUUGUUUGCCUCCUUUGACCUGAUGGUCGAGCUCUUCCCUUGGGUGGCCGUACCCACUGGGAACUAUGGAGUUAGUUCUCACCCCACGUUGUUUCGGGGUUUUACAGGUUCACACGCGAGCGGCGCGGCGGCGCGAGGAAAGGGCGUAGCUCCGUAGUUAGCGCCCUACCACUGAGACCAGAUAGCAGCACCCUGAGUCGGCUUCUUAGGGGUAUAAAAUACAAAGAACCAAAAAUGUGAUAAUUGUAAGAACAAUGUUGUAAUAAGUAUGUUAAGAACUUGAUUGUAUAAUUGGAAGUUGAGGAUCAAUGUAAAAGAAUGAGAAUUGUGAUGUAAAAAUGUAUGAAUGUGAAUGCUUGUAAUAGCAAGUAGAUUUAUGUUUUGAUA